rnacentral:misc_RNA from 1 species
GAUGAAGAACGUAGCGAAAUGCGAUAAGUAAUGUGAAAUGCAGAAUUCAGUGAAUCAUCGAAUCUUUGAACGCACAUUGCGCCCGCCAGUAUUCUGGCGGGCAUGCCUGUUCGAGCGUCAUUUCAACCAUCAAGCCCCAGGCUUGUGUUGGGGACCUGCGGCUGCCGCAGGCCCUGAAAACCAGUGGCGGGCUCGCUGUCACACCGGGCGUAGUAGAUUUUAUCUCGCUCAGGGCGUGCUGCGGGUUCCGGCCGUUAAAAAGCCUUUUUUACCCAAGGUUGACCUCGGAUCAGGUAGGAAGACCCGCUGAACUUAAGCAUAUCAAUAAGCGGAGGA